rnacentral:rRNA from 1 species
UACGUAGGGACCAAGCGUUGUUCGGAUUUACUGGGCGUAAAGGGCGCGUAGGCGGCUUGUCAAGUCACUUGUGAAAUCUCUGGGCUUAACCCAGAACGGCCAAGUGAAACUGACAUGCUAGAGUGUGGUAGGGGAGACUGGAAUUCCUGGUGUAGCGGUGAAAUGCGCAGAUAUCAGGAGGAACACCGAUGGCGAAGGCAGGUCUCUGGGCCACUACUGACGCUGAGAAGCGAAAGCAUGGGGAGCGAACAGG